rnacentral:lncRNA from 10 species
AGCACAAUCUCAUCUCACUGCAACCUCUGCCUCCUAAGUUUAGGUGAUUUUGUUGCCUCAGCCUCCCUAGUAGCCGGGUUUACAGGCUCUUGCCACUAUGCCUGGCUAAUUUUUUGUAUUUUUAGUAGAGACAGGGUUUCGUCAUGUUGCCCAGGCUGGUCUCGAUCUCCUGACCUGGGGUGAUCCACCCGCUUCAGCCUCUCAAAGUGCUGCGAUUACAGGCAUGAGCCACCGUGCCCGGCCCCAAAAUGCACUUUUA